rnacentral:rRNA from 1 species
CGCAGCCGCGGUAAUUCCAGCUCCAAUAGCGUAUAUUAAAGUUGUUGCAGUUAAAAAGCUCGUAGUUGAAUUUCGGGAUCAAAUUGUUGGUCGUGCCUCGGUACGCACUGGUAUUAUUGGUUCCUACCUUCUGAAGAACCGCGAUGUCAUUAAUUUGGUGUCGUGGGGAAUCAGGACUGUUACUUUGAAAAAAUUAGAGUGUUUAAAGCAGGCUUACGCUUGAAUACAUUAGCAUGGAAUAAUGAAAUAGGACGUUUGAUUCUAUUUUGUUGGUUUCUAGGAUUGACGUAAUGAUUAAUAGGGAUAGUUGGGGGCAUUAGUAUUCAAUUGUCAGAGGUGAAAUUCUUGGAUUUAUUGAAGACUAACUACUGCGAAAGCAUUUGCCAAGGAUGUUUUCAUUAAUCAAGAACGAAAGUUAGGGGAUCGAAGACGAUCAGAUACCGUCGUAGUCUUAACCAUAAACUAUGCCGACUAGGGAU